CUCACUACUUCCAUUUUCACCAUAACAGUAGUCUAAGGGAAGAGGAGCACUAUUCAAAGUGGUUUUGGUUCCAAGAAUCUAGGUGCACGAGAAGCAUUAAGAGAAAUCAGAACAUAUAGAUAACCUUAAUCCAACAUUAACAGCACACAGUUUUGGCAAUAUUAUGAACAGGAAGGGAACACGAUUCAAAGUGGUUUCGGUUCCAAGAAUCUAGGCGCAAGAGAAGCAUUACCAGACAUCAGAACAGCACACGAUUUCGGCAAAUAUAAUGAACGGAGCAGAACUCUCUGCUGUAUUCACAGAUGGUGAUAAACUAUUUUGAAGUUUCAUGAUAUCAGAGACUUCUAGACCCCGUACAACUUUCCAUAGAACCGGAAAUACAUCUAAGUUAAAGGUUCAAGAGGUAAGAAAAUUACCAUGUUCAUGUGAUCAGAAAUCUCAAAGAUAUUGCCUCAAUUAAAAACACACAUUCAUUCAUUUAUAUAUUUUUUAUAUAGUGGUGUCUUUGUCAUCUUGCACGUACCUCAAUUAAAUUGAAUAAACCGGUAUAGCAGAGGCAAAUUUUUUCCAAAAACACAUUCAUAGUGCUCACAAGAAGGGUUUACCCCUAAGUUGCUCUGAUACUGCAGUUUAGAUGUUGCACCCGUUUCGACUUGGCACUAGUAUGAUUGUGAGUAUGGGAUCCGUACAGGAUUUGGUCAAAACAAUUUUGGGUAAUUUGACCACAACGGACGAAAAAAUUCGAGAUGAGAUACAAUUUGAUUCCCGAAAUAAAAACCAAAACUAGAACAAAUUUAAAGAUAAUAGCAUACCUUUAUCUAGGAAAUCAUUCAUUUACUUUCUAACACAACUUGAGAAUAAAAAAGAAAUCCACACUUUACAAGCUAUACAUAAGUAUUCCACAAACAACAACAACAACUACCCAGUAUACUCCCACCAGGUGGGGUCUGGGGAGGGUAAUAUGUAGACAAGCCUUAUCCCUACCCGAAAGGGCAGUGAGGCUGUUUCCAAUCGACCCCCGGCUCAAUAAGUAUUCCACAAAAUUUCUCAUAAUUUAAA
rnacentral:lncRNA from 1 species